rnacentral:rRNA from 1 species
CGCAUCUGUGCAUGCAGCAUAUCAAUAAGCGGAGGAAAAGAAACUAACAAGGAUUCCCCUAGUAACGGCGAGUGAAGCGGGAAGAGCUCAAAUUUGAAAUCUUAAAGGGUUUCCCUUUACGAAUUGUAGUUUAAAGAAGUGUUUUCUGUUGAGGUUUUGGUAAAAGUUCUUUGGAAUAGGACAUCAUAGAGGGUGAGAAUCCCGUAUUUGACCUUUACUUUCAACUUUGUGAUACACUUUCAAAGAGUCGGAUUGUUUGGGAAUGCAGUCCAAAAUGGGUGGUAAGUUUCAUCUAAAGCUAAAUAUUGGCGAGAGACCGAUAGCGAACAAGUACCGUGAGGGAAAGAUGAAAAGAACUUUGAAGAGAGAGUUAAACAGUACGUGAAAUUGUCAAAAGGGAAGCGUUUGACACCAGUGUUGUUUUUCUGAAAAUCAAUUAAAGAACUGUUUAUGCUAAGUUGUUUAGACUUUAUCAGCUAACUGUUUAGUUUUGAGCUUUUCUUUAAUGCACUUUUCAGUUAACAAGUCAACAUCAAUUUCUUUUGCUGUAAAAAAGCUUGAGGAAGGUGGCUUGAGAUUCGUCUUAAGUGUUUAUAGCCUCUUGCCUAUGCAGUCGGAGAGAUUGAGGUCCUGCAGCGUAGAUCCUUCGGGGCUAAAUGCAUUUGUGCUAAGUUAUAGCAUUUUAUAGACAACUUGUUGACUAUGAUUUGUCUUGUAGCUUACUCGCUUAUGUUAUUUUACCUACGCUUAGGAUGUUGAACGCGCACAGAGUCUC